UACAAGUAAAAGAGAAGAAGACUCCAAGAUUCCGAUUGUGGACUUUUCCCGUUCUGGUGGAUGGACCACUUGGGGUUGUUUCCGCUGCUGAAUUGAUUGGCAUGAUCCUCUUUAUCGUGUUUGUUAUCUGGGAAGUUU